rnacentral:rRNA from 1 species
UACGUAGGGGGCAAGCGUUGUCCGGAUUUAUUGGGCGUAAAGAGCGUGUAGGCGGCCAGGUAGGUCCGUUGUGAAAACUGGAGGCUUAACCUCCAGCUGUCGAUGGAAACCAUCUGGCUAGAGUCCGGAAGAGGAGACUGGAAUUUACGGUGUAGCGGUGAAAUGCGUAGAUAUCGUAAGGAAGACCAGUGGCGAAGGCGGGUCUCUGGACAGUUCCUGACGCUGAGGCACGAAGGCCAGGGGAGCAAACGGG